AUUCGUGUAUUAAUUUAAUUGUUCAGACAAUGCCGUGUUCCAAUACGUGUUCAGUUAACUAACUUGCGAGUCUUCAAAAACUCGAAGCUUGUUUGAAAAAACCAAAAAUGAUCCCUCCGCAGGUUCACCUACGGAAA
rnacentral:misc_RNA from 1 species